rnacentral:rRNA from 1 species
CCUACGGGUGGCAGCAGUGGGGAAUAUUGGACAAUGGGCGAAAGCCUGAUCCAGCGACGCCGCGUGAGUGAAGAAGUAUUUCGGUAUGUAAAGCUCUAUCAGCAGGGAAGAAAAUUACGGUACCUGACUAAGUAGCCCCGGCUAAACACGUGCCAGCACGCGCGGUUAUACGUAGGGGGCAAGGGGUAUCCGGAUUUUAUGGGUGUAAAGGGAGCGUAGGGGGGUGCGCAAGUCCGGAGUGAAAAGCCUGGGGCAAAACCCGGGACCGCUCUGGAUACUGGGAAGCUGGAGUGAAGGAGAGGUAAGCGGAAUUCGUGGUGUAGCGGUGAAAUGCGUAGAUAUCAGGAAGAACACCGAAUGCGAAGGCAGCUUACUGGGUUGUAACUGACGCUGAGGCACGAAGGCGUGGGGAGCAAACAGGAUUAGAUACCCGAGUAGUC